UGGGGANUCUUCCGCAAUGGACGAAAGUCUGACGGAGCAACGCCGCGUGAGUGAUGACGGCCUUCGGGUUGUAAAGCUCUGUUAAUCGGGACGAAUGGCUACCAUGCGAAUAGUGUGGGAGUUUGACGGUACCGGAAUAGAAAGCCACGGCUAACUACGUGCCAGCAGCCGCGGUAAUACGUAGGUGGCAAGCGUUGUCCGGAAUUAUUGGGCGUAAAGCGCGCGCAGGCGGAUCUGCCAGUCUGUCUUAAAAGUUCGGGGCUCAACCCCGUGAUGGGAUGGAAACUACAGAUCUAGAGUAUCGGAGGGGAAAGUGGAAUUCCUAGUGUAGCGGUGAAAUGCGUAGAUAUUAGGAGGAACACCAGUGGCGAAGGCGACUUUCUGGACGAUCACUGACGCUGAGGCGCGAAAGCCAGGGGAGCGAACGGGAUUAGAUACCCCGGUAGUCCUGGCCGUAAACGAUGGGUACUAGGUGUAGGAGGUAUCGACCCCUUCAGUGCCGCAGUUAACGCAGUAAGUACCCCGCCUGGGGAGUACGGCCGCAAGGUUG
rnacentral:rRNA from 1 species